GACGAACGCUGGCGGCGUGCUUAACACAUGCAAGUCGAACGAAGAGCGAUGGAAGCUUGCUUCUAUCAAUCUUAGUGGCGAACGGGUGAGUAACGCGUAAUCAACCUGCCCUUCAGAGGGGGACAACAGUUGGAAACGACUGCUAAUACCGCAUACGAUCUAAACUCGGCAUCGAGGAUAGAUGAAAGGUGGCCUCUACAUGUAAGCUAUCACUGAAGGAGGGGAUUGCGUCUGAUUAGCUAGUUGGAGGGGUAACGGCCCACCAAGGCGAUGAUCAGUAGCCGGUCUGAGAGGAUGAACGGCCACAUUGGGACUGAGACACGGCCCAGACUCCUACGGGAGGCAGCAGUGGGGAAUCUUCCGCAAUGGACGAAAGUCUGACGGAGCAACGCCGCGUGAGUGAUGACGGCCUUCGGGUUGUAAAGCUCUGUUAAUUGGGACGAAAGGCCUUCUUGCGAAUAGUUAGGAGGA
rnacentral:rRNA from 1 species